rnacentral:lncRNA from 1 species
AGUUCCCAACACUUCUCGUCAUCCUCUCUUUGGUCUCUUUAUUCUGCUGAGCGGUGCUGUUAGGAUUUCUUUUUUUUUUUUUUCCCCUGACCACGUUCGCGAUGCAUUGUUGGAAACUGUUACUACAUUUUUACUGGAAAUACUAUUAUUCAUUUUAAUUUUGUCUUCUGGAAGGAGCUGCCUCUGAAAUACUCUUCUUCUGCUUACAUGAAGAUCUCUAAAUGCUAUCCAGCAGGAGGUGCUACAGCAAGAUAAAGGAAAUUUUUGAAUUUUGAGGGUCUUGCUACUUAUUACAGCUCUGCUUAGCUUCAGCUAAGCAACAGGAUUAACACCUUAAAGUUCCAGAAAGAUUUUGAGGGGCUAGAGAGCUGAAGGAGAGCCAGUUUCCCCAAAAUUGGACUUCUCAGAACCUUUAAUAUGCUAAUGUGCAUUGUGAAUCUCCAAGAGGGGGAUAUGA